GAUGAAGAACGUAGCGAAAUGCGAUAAGUAAUGUGAAUUGCAGAAUUCAGCGAAUCAUCGAAUCUUUGAACGCACAUUGCGCCCGCCAGUAUUCUGGCGGGCAUGCCUGUUCGAGCGUCAUUACAACCCUCAGGCCCCCGGGCCUGGCGUUGGGGAUCGGCGGAAGCCCCCUGCGGGCACAACGCCGUCCCCCAAAUACAGUGGCGGUCCCGCCGCAGCUUCCAUUGCGUAGUAGCUAACACCUCGCAACUGGAGAGCGGCGCGGCCACGCCGUAAAACACCCAACUUCUGAAUGUUGACCUCGAAUCAGGUAGGAAUACCCGCUGAACUUAAGCAUAUCAAUAAGCGGAGGA
rnacentral:misc_RNA from 1 species